rnacentral:rRNA from 1 species
UACGUAGGGGGCAAGCGUUGUCCGGAUUUAUUGGACGUAAAGAGCGUGUAGGCGGCCAUGCAGGUCAGCUGUGAAAACUCGAGGCUCAACCUCGAGACGUCGGUUGAAACCGUAUGGCUAGAGUCCGGAAGAGGAGAGUGGAAUUCCCGGUGUAGCGGUGAAAUGCGCAGAUAUCGGGAAGAACACCCAUGGCGAAGGCAGCUCUCUGGGACGGUACUGACGCUGAGACGCGAAAGCGUGGGGAGCGAACAGG